rnacentral:rRNA from 1 species
CGCCGUAAACGAUGUCGACUUGGAGGUUGUGCCCUUGAGGCGUGGCUUCCGGAGCUAACGCGUUAAGUCGACCGCCUGGGGAGUACGGCCGCAAGGUUAAAACUCAAAUGAAUUGACGGGGGCCCGCACAAGCGGUGGAGCAUGUGGUUUAAUUCGAUGCAACGCGAAGAACCUUACCUGGUCUUGACAUCCACGGAAGUUUUCAGAGAUGAGAAUGUGCCUUCGGGAACCGUGAGACAGGUGCUGCAUGGCUGUCGUCAGCUCGUGUUGUGAAAUGUUGGGUUAAGUCCCGCAACGAGCGCAACCCUUAUCCUUUGUUGCCAGCGGUCCGGCCGGGAACUCAAAGGAGACUGCCAGUGAUAAACUGGAGGAAGGUGGGGAUGACGUCAAGUCAUCAUGGCCCUUACGACCAGGGCUACACACGUGCUACAAUGGCGCAUACAAAGAGAAGCGACCUCGCGAGAGCAAGCGGACCUCAUAAAGUGCGUCGUAGUCCGGAUUGGAGUCUGCAACUCGACUCCAUGAAGUCGGAAUCGCUAGUAAUCGUGGAUCAGAAUGCCACGGUGAAUACGUUCCCGGGCCUUGUACACACCGCCCGUCACACCAUGGGAGUGGGUUGCAAAAGAAGUAGGUAGCUUAACCUUCGGGAGGGCGCUUACCACUUUGUGAUUCAUGACUGGGGUGAAGUCGUAACAAGGUAACCGUAGGGGAACCUGCGGUUGGAUCACCUCCUUACCUUAAAGAAGC